GCUGAUAUACCUCAGGCGGUAGAGGACGCGCUUGGUAAGCGCGCUGCCCCGGGUUCGAGUCCCGGUAUCAGCUCCA
rnacentral:tRNA from 1 species